UGAGUAGUGGCGAGCGAAAUCGGAGGAGGCUAAACCUGGUCUGUGUGAUACCCGGCAGGGGUUGCAGGUCAGGGGUUGUGGGACGUGUCUGGGUCGUCUGCCGGCGGUCCGACGUGUACGUGUUCUGGUAGUCGAAGUCGUGUUGAGUGCGACGGCGUAGAGGGUGUGACCCCCGUAGACGAAACUGGUUCAUGGCGUGACGCUGUUCCCGAGUAGUACCGGAC
rnacentral:rRNA from 1 species